CCUACGGGUGGCAGCAGUGAGGAAUAUUGGUCAAUGGACGAGAGUCUGAACCAGCCAAGUAGCGUGAAGGAUGACUGCUCUAUGGGUUGUAAACUUCUUUUAUAUGGGAAUAAAACGUUCCACGUGUGGGCUUUUGUAUGUACCCUAUGAAUAAGGAUCGGCUAACUCCGUGCCAGCAGCCGCGGUAAUACGGAGGAUCCGAGCGUUAUCCGGAUUUAUUGGGUUUAAAGGGAGCGUAGGUGGAUUGUUAAGUCAGUUGUGAACGUUUGCGGCUCAACCGUAAAAUUGCAGUUGAAACUGGCUGUCUUGAGUACAGUAGAGGUGGGCGGAAUUCGUGGUGUAGCGGUGAAAUGCUUAGAUAUCACGAAGAACUCCGAUUGCGAAGGCAGUUCACUGGACUGCAACUGACACUGAGGCUCGAAAGUGUGGGUAGCAAACAGGAUUAGAUACCCCAGUAGUC
rnacentral:rRNA from 1 species